GUGGGGGAUAUUGCACAAUGGGGGAAACCCUGAUGCAGCAAUGCCGCGUGAGGGAAGAAGGUCUUCGGAUUGUAAACCUAAGUAGUCAGGGACGAAAUAAAUGACGGUACCUGAAGAGGAAGCUCCGGCUAACUACGUGCCAGCAGCCGCGGUAAUACGUAGGGAGCGAGCGUUGUCCGGAAUUACUGGGUGUAAAGGGUGCGUAGGCGGGGCAGCAAGUCAGGCGUGAAAUACCGGGGCUCAACUCCGGGGCUGCGCUUGAAACUGUUGCUCUUGAGUGAAGUAGAGGUAAGCGGAAUUCCUAGUGUAGCGGUGAAAUGCGUAGAUAUUAGGAGGAACACCAGUGGCGAAGGCGGCUUACUGGGCUUCAACUGACGCUGAGGCACGAAAGCGUGGGGAGCAAACAGGAUUAGAAACCCUAGUAGUCC
rnacentral:rRNA from 1 species